rnacentral:lncRNA from 1 species
UCAUGUAUGGUACCACCUAUUCAUUACUUUUCCGCAAGAGUCUGAGCCAGAAUUUUGUAAUCUUACUGUAAAAAAGAAAAGAAAAAGAAUCCUAGUAUUUUCUGCCAAACAUAUUAACCGUCGGUCCAUGGAAUUGCGAUCUCAAUCGACGCUGAGAUAAAAAGAAAAAAAAGGUGAAUUUGAAAGCUGUCUUCUCUUGGAAAAGCAAAGGAGAUUCCAAAAUGAAAAGCUAAAGAUGGAACCACCAUGUGAGGAGUGAGAGCAUAGAUUACAGCGCGCAUCCCUCCCAUAAAGCAAAAGCCUAAAAAGUGGAAGAAGGAGAAAAACAGCAAAGGAGGACAGUGAUGUCGAACUUCGAACUGAGCGCACCAAUUCACGCUUUCUUGAUUCUUCCAAUGGCAGAAAUCCUAAGCUAGGCAGAGUCUCCGACGAUACCAAACGAUUUAUAGUUCCUCAUAUUUCUGGCGGUCGCGCCGUCUGCUCUGUGCCAAGUUACUGGUAAAAACUCCAUCUUCGAGUUCGUUCUUGUUCUUUACUGGUAAAAACUCCAUCUUCGAGUUCGUUCUUGUUCUUGUGUUACAUGAACGAGUGUUCACCGAAAGUUCGUUCCUUUGGCUC